AUUUUCUUGCUGGAAGCAUUAUUGUGAGGGAAAAGAUGAGAUUGAGAACCAAAAAAAGAGUAUAGCUUCAUGUUUAUUUUGGGCAAACCCGUGAGAGAGAACCAAGAGAGAGAAGGAAGCAAUUUCAGCUCAAGAAAAAGAAAAACUAAGGGAAGAAAAGCUAGGGGGAGCAAGAGAAUUAAAAGGGAAUCAACUAAACUUCUUGAGAUUAAAGUUAAGGUCACGCGCUAUUGUCUGCUUGAUCUAUCCGAUCUGCUUCUGCUACUAUCUGUGAUCAGGGCGUGACCAAGCCUUGAGGCGCUUGGAAUCAGUUUUUGACAGCCAACCUAUGUGCCUCCCGUGGAGGUUUCGGACAUGUCUAAUGGUUAUGGCUAAGCACAUAAGUUGAAGUUUUGUUUUCCUGUUCAGCUAGACAAGUCUUUGUGUAUUUUGUAAAUAGGGCUAAGUCCAUUUUUGUCUAUCUUAUAUAUGUAUAUAUAUGAUGAUGUUCAUAUGUAUGUAUAUAAAGUUUAAAAUUUUUCUAUCUCAUAUAA